AAAGCAUUUAACUUGGUUAAAUUUUUAUUUUGUGGGAAAACUACCUCCAUAAUCAAUAAAGCAUUUAACUUGGUUAAAAUUUUGUGGGAAAAUUCAUCCUUCCGGAAGUAAUUUUGGCGGAUAAACUCCCUCCAACUCCUCUAAGUACAUGUAAAUGAAAUUAAAAAAAUGAAAAGAAAAAGAUGUGAAAAAUCGAACUAAAACACUAAAACUUCUCUAAUGGGAAAUCACCCUUCACUUAUGCUCCAUACUCCGUACUCCAUACUCCAUACUCCAUUUCUACCCUACUCUAUUCUCAACUGAAGUGGGAAAUUUAUAAUUCAUAGCCUCUAGCUGAUGCAAAAGGUGCAAAAAAACAUGGAAUGCAGUACUUUAUACAAUAUCACCAGGCUGCCUUGAAUUCUAUACUAGCAGGGGAUUUAGAUCAAUUGGAUAUGUGUAAAAAUGCUAGAGGUGGAUACUAAAGCUGAAGAAGAUGCUUCCUGAAUUGUUCCUAAAUUGCAAGCAAGAGAAACAAAUGAUAAUGCAGUCCAAAGAAUAAUUGCUGAAAUUAUUUAGGGGACAAAAUGAUUUAGUUUUAACUUUAAUUGUUUUUUGUUAGUUGUUUUUUUUUUAAUUUUUUUUUUCGGGAAGGAAUUCUUAGUUUAACUAGUGAUAAUUUAAUUUUGUAAUUUUCCUUAUAAAUAACAAUGUACAAACUUUUAAUUUAUAUAAAUAAAAUUCUAAU